GACGAACGCUGGCGGCGUGCUUAACACAUGCAAGUCGAACGGAAAGGCCCUGCUUUUGUGGGGUGCUCGAGUGGCGAACGGGUGAGUAACACGUGAGUAACCUGCCCUUGACUUUGGGAUAACUUCAGGAAACUGGGGCUAAUACCGGAUAGGAGCUCCUGCUGCAUGGUGGGGGUUGGAAAGUUUCGGCGGUUGGGGAUGGACUCGCGGCUUAUCAGCUUGUUGGUGGGGUAGUGGCUUACCAAGGCUUUGACGGGUAGCCGGCCUGAGAGGGUGACCGGCCACAUUGGGACUGAGAUACGGCCCAGACUCCUACGGGAGGCAGCAGUGGGGAAUAUUGCACAAUGGGCGGAAGCCUGAUGCAGCCAAGCCGCGUGCGGGAUGACGGCCUUCGGGUUGUAAACCGCUUUCGCCUGUGACGAAGCGUGAGUGACGGUAAUGGGUAAAGAAGCACCGGCUAACUACGUG
rnacentral:rRNA from 1 species